UACAGAGGUCUCAAGCGUUGUUCGGAUUCAUUGGGCGUAAAGGGUGCGUAGGUGGCGCGCUAAGUCAGGUGUGAAAUUUCGGAGCUUAACUCCGAAACUGCAUUUGAUACUGGCGUGCUUGAGGACUGGAGAGGAGACUGGAAUUCACGGUGUAGCAGUGAAAUGCGUAGAGAUCGUGAGGAAGACCAGUGGCGAAGGCGGGUCUCUGGACAGCUCCUGACACUGAGGCACGAAGGCCAGGGGAGCAAACGGG
rnacentral:rRNA from 1 species